ACCACACCAUAAGUUGCGGAGUGGCUUUUAAAAACAAUCUCUUCUAUUUCGCAUGUUUAUUUCUUGAGCUGCUGAUAUCAUCUGUCCUAUAUUCUUCUCAGGCUUUUCUCAGGAUUCUAAGGAAGAGACAAUAUCUUUGUUUGGCUCCAAGGAAAAGGAGCAAAAGAAAAAGAAAAACUACCAGGCAUAUUAACUGGCAAAAGACUGGCAUCUGAAGACCUUUCUACACUGACCAUAUAAUGCCAUUUGAAGCUGACUUGAAGACACAGUGGCCACAAAAUGCACAGCACCAAUGUACACUGCAGUGGGCAUCUAAGGCUAUAUUGUGCUUUUUAAAAGUCCAAAGAAACUCUGAGUUCUGUCAAAAAUGGACUUCAGCAGAUGCCAGUGUGGCCCAGAUCCAAGGUAAAAUGAGUUCCGCAAAAU